rnacentral:rRNA from 1 species
AGUGAACGCUGGCGGCGUGCUUAACACAUGCAAGUCGAACGAGAACGGAAUAUAGCUUGCUAUAUUUGUCAGCUAAGUGGCGCACGGGUGAGUAAUAUAUAGAUAACCUGCCCUUAAGAAAGGAAUAACAGUUGGAAACGACUGCUAAUGCCCUGUAUGCCUUUAAUACAUAAGUAUGCAAGGGAAACGCUUUAGUGCUUAAGGAUGGGUCUGUAUGGUAUCAGCUUGUUGGUGAGGUAAUGGCUCACCAAGGCUAUGACGCCUAACUGGUUUGAGAGGAUGAUCAGUCACACUGGAACUGAGACACGGUCCAGACUCCUACGGGAGGCAGCAGUGGGGAAUAUUGCACAAUGGACGAAAGUCUGAUGCAGCAACGCCGCGUGGAGGAUGACACAUUUCGGUGCGUAAACUCCUUUUAUAUAGGAAGAUAAUGACGGUACUAUAUGAAUAAGCACCGGCUAACUCCGUGCCAGCAGCCGCGGUAAUAC